rnacentral:rRNA from 1 species
UGGGGGAUAUUGCACAAUGGGCGAAAGCCUGAUGCAGCGACGCCGCGUGGGGGAUGAAGGCCUUCGGGUUGUAAACUUCUUUUGCUCUGAACAAGGCGCACCAUGGGGUGUGUUGAGUGUAGGGGUUGAUUAGCGCCGGCUAACUACGUGCCAGCAGCCGCGGUAAUACGUAGGGCGCGAGCGUUGUCCGGAAUUAUUGGGCGUAAAGGGCUUGUAGGUGGCUGGUUGCGUCUGUCGUGAAAGCCCAUGGCUUAACUGUGGGUUUGCGGUGGGUACGGGCUGGCUUGAGUGCAGUAGGGGAGGCUGGAAUUCCUGGUGUAGCGGUGGAAUGCGCAGAUAUCAGGAGGAAUACCGGUGGCGAAGGCGGGUCUCUGGGCUGUUACUGACACUGAGGAGCGAAAGCAUGGGGAGCGAACAGG